rnacentral:lncRNA from 1 species
CAUACAGUGACAUACUUACAGUCUGACACUCCUGUGUCCUGCCCUCUCAUACAGUGACAUACUUACAGUCUGACACUCCUGUGUCCUGCCCUCUCAUACAGUGACAUACUUACAGACUAACACUCCUGUCUCCUGCCCUCUCAUACAGUGACAUCUCUUCCUUCAGUGUGAGGGGCAGUGUGUGCCAGCCUCUCCUGUGUCCCGCCCUCUUCCUUCAGUGUGAGGGGCAGCGUAUGUCAGCCUCU